GAUAUUGCGCAAUGGGGGAAACCCUGACGCAGCAACGCCGCGUGGGUGAUGAAGGUCUUCGGAUUGUAAAGCCCUGUUUUCUGGGACGAUAAUGACGGUACCAGAGGAGGAAGCCACGGCUAACUACGUGCCAGCAGCCGCGGUAAUACGUAGGUGGCGAGCGUUGUCCGGAUUUACUGGGCGUAAAGGGUGCGUAGGCGGAUGUUUAAGUGGGAUGUGAAAUCCCCGGGCUUAACCUGGGGGCUGCAUUCCAAACUGGAUAUCUAGAGUGCAGGAGAGGAAAGCGGAAUUCCUAGUGUAGCGGUGAAAUGCGUAGAGAUUAGGAAGAACACCAGUGGCGAAGGCGGCUUUCUGGACUGUAACUGACGCUGAGGCACGAAAGCGUGGGUAGCAAACAGGAUUAGAUACCCUGGUAGUCCACGCCGUAAACGAUGGAUACUAGGUGUAGGGGGUAUCAACUCCCCCUGUGCCGCAGUUAACACAAUAAGUAUCCCGCCUGGGGAGUACGGUCGCAAGAUUAAAACUCAAAGGAAUUGACGGGGGCCCGCACAAGA
rnacentral:rRNA from 1 species